GUGGGUGUAGCUCAGUUGGUUAGAGUGCCUGGUUGUGGCCCAGGAGGUCGCCGGUUCAAAUCCGGUCACUCACCCCA
rnacentral:tRNA from 1 species